UCUCUUGUGCUCGGGCACGUACUAUCGCCAGUGAGGUCUUUACCGAGGCAUAGUCUUUUGCUGAUUGCAAAUUACACAUCCGAACCCGUCUGUUAGCUUCGGCUUUCAGCAAUUUUUGGACGCUCUUCGUUUGUCGAAGGCCUAUGGAUCACAGCUUCUGGAUUACAUGUACGGUAGAUUCAUUAGAG
rnacentral:snRNA from 17 species